rnacentral:tRNA from 4 species
GCCCAUGUAGCUCAGUCGGUAGAGCACUUCCUUGGUAAGGAAGAGGUCACCGGUUCAAGUCCGGUCAUGGGCUCCA